AUUGAACGCUGGCGGCAUGCCUUACACAUGCAAGUCGAACGGCAGCACGGGAGCAAUCCUGGUGGCGAGUGGCGAACGGGUGAGUAAUAUAUCGGAACGUGCCCGGUCGUGGGGAUAACGUAGCGAAAGCUACGCUAAUACCGCAUACGAUCUACGGAUGAAAGCGGGGGAUCGCAAGACCUCGCGCGAUUGGAGCGGCCGAUAUCAGAUUAGGUAGUUGGUGAGGUAAAGGCUCACCAAGCCAACGAUCUGUAGCUGGUCUGAGAGGACGACCAGCCACACUGGGACUGAGACACGGCCCAGACUCCUACGGGAGGCAGCAGUGGGGAAUUUUGGACAAUGGGCGCAAGCCUGAUCCAGCAAUGCCGCGUGCAGGAUGAAGGCC
rnacentral:rRNA from 1 species